CAAGAACAAAGGAAGAAAAGAAUGAACAAGAACCCUAGGGUGAAAAUUCAAGAGAAAAUUGGUGGAUUUCAAGUAAUCAAGCAAUCAAAGGUAAAAUUUCUUGAUUUUGACUUGUGAUCUACCUUUCCCAUACAUUCUUUUGCAUUUUCCAUGGUUGAAUCACAAGAUAUCAUGAAGGAUAGUGUACUGAUCAAACCCUAGGAGAGAGAAUUUGAUGAUGAUUUAGAUAGAUUUUUAAGAUAUAUGGAUGUUUUUAAUUGUUUAUGAUGUUAAGUGUAAGAAUUAAGCUUGAAAUUCACAUAUUCCUCAUGAGUUCAUCAUUGGCCGAAUCUUCCUUGUAGAGUGUUGAUGGUGGAUUUGAUUUUAUUUCAAGUGAAUUGGUUAGAAAAUGAUGAAUUAUGGUGAGAAAAUCAAGUAGGAAAAAUUAUAAUGUUGAUGCACCCACCAUGGCCGAAUUUUUCAAGAGAAAAUGUGAGGAUGAGUUUUUCAUAUUUCAAGUUAUUUAAUUUGUGUUUGAUGAUUUGGAGUAUUGGGAGAAAAAUGGAAUUGUUUGGAGUUAAAUUGGACAUAUUGGCCAAUUAAUCGAGUGAUAGAUCAAAUUAGGCCAAUACCGUUUUAUUUAAGUACACAAUUGAAUUUGUGUAGAACACCGUGUUUGGACGAUAAUCCGAACAAUUUACAUCCCAUUUCAUGCAUUAGUAUAGAGCCUGAAUUGGUUUUAUAACAAUUUAGCACAGAUAUAGUAAAUGGCUUAUUGUGCAUUAUGUCUAAGUGGUGAGCAUUCUAAUAAAAGUAAAGAGAUAGUACCCGAGGAUCAAGAAUCGAAGUACUCAGAAUUCGAUUUCCAUUACAGUGAGUAACCUUACUAUCGUCUUAAUUAUCUAAAGUGGUUUUAUUCAAUUUUGUGAUUUUAUGGAAAAUGAGUUUAAAUGGUAAAUCUUUAUGUUUUAUAAGCAAAAUGAGAUUAAAUGAAAAUGAUUUUAUAAAAUUAUCUUCAGAUUGAAUGAUGGUUUUGAAAAUAGAGUAAUUGGAGAUUGUUUUCAUGUGUUGUAAAUUCAUGGUUUGAAUCGAAUGGCUUAUGACAAUAUUUGCAUGAAUGGCUGAAUUGGUAAAUGUGCUGAAAAUAUAUGAACUGUGUAUUUAGCCUUGAGAGAUUGGAUUAUGAUAUAAUUGGCAUGUCAUGCAGUUGAGAUUUUAUUGAAUUGGUGGGUUUAGCUUGCUGUAGUGGGCGGGUUCCGUGGACCAGCCUAUUAAAGGGGGACGGUAACCCUAUUAUAUUCUUACCUCAGUCGGAGAGGCGUGUAGGGUAACUCCCGCAGUACACUUUUAGAGUUCACUUCACGCCAAACCACCACGUGAGGGUGAACUCAGCUAAUGUCAAGGAACGACUAUGUUUUCAAAAUAAAAAUAUGUUUAUGUGUAUAUGAAAUUUUUAACAGCCUUGGCGAACUUAGUUGGGAUAGCCCCAGGCCAAGGUAUCCCUGAUAAUUGAGUACAAGAAUGAUUUUGGCACGAGCCAAAGUUUUAAGAAAUUCAUAAGCCAUGUUGUUUACUUGAUUUAUAUGAAUUGAUUUUAUUUGGUUGAAAUGAGUUGAAAUGUGAUGAAUUACAAUAUGAUGAUCUAUUUUAAUCUGUCUCUAUUUACUCAGCUUUAGAUAUUUUAGAUGGUAUUUGUUUACUCACUGGGAUUAUAUAAUCUCACCACCCUCAUUUUCACCCAUUUCAGGCUCAAGAUAGUCUGUAGAUAGCUCACUUUGUUGAGGGCUACAGUUGGACUUGCAUCCUCAAAAACUGUAGGUUUACCGCUUUUGAUACUUUUGAUCCUUCAUGGGACCACGUGUCACUGUAAAUUAAAUCUUAUGCUUUGGUUAUCUGUAUUAUAGUAUGUUUGAAUUUAUUUAGCUUUUACGCUACAAAAAUUAUUUACUGG
rnacentral:lncRNA from 1 species